rnacentral:rRNA from 1 species
UCUUGGUCAUUUAGAGGAAGUAAAAGUCGUAACAAGGUUUCCGUAGGUGAACCUGCGGAAGGAUCAUUAAAGAAAUUUAAUAAUUUUGAAAAUGGAUUUUUUUGUUUUGGCAAGAGCAUGAGAGCUUUUACUGGGCAAGAAGACAAGAGAUGGAGAGUCCAGCCGGGCCUGCGCUUAAGUGCGCGGUCUUGCUAGGCUUGUAAGUUUCUUUCUUGCUAUUCCAAACGGUGAGAGAUUUCUGUGCUUUUGUUAUAGGACAAUUAAAACCGUUUCAAUACAACACACUGUGGAGUUUUCAUAUCUUUGCAACUUUUUCUUUGGGCAUUCGAGCAAUCGGGGCCCAGAGGUAACAAACACAAACAAUUUUAUCUAUUCAUUAAAUUUUUGUCAAAAACAAGAAUUUUCGUAACUGGAAAUUUUAAAAUAUUAAAAACUUUCAACAACGGAUCUCUUGGUUCUCGCAUCGAUGAAGAACGCAGCGAAAUGCGAUACGUAAUGUGAAUUGCAGAAUUCCGUGAAUCAUCGAAUCUUUGAACGCACAUUGCGCCCCUUGGUAUUCCAGGGGGCAUGCCUGUUUGAGCGUCAUUUCCUUCUCAAACAUUCUGUUUGGUAGUGAGUGAUACUCUUUGGAGUUAACUUGAAAUUGCUGGCCUUUUCAUUGGAUGUUUUUUUUCCAAAGAGAGGUUUCUCUGCGUGCUUGAGGUAUAAUGCAAGUACGGUCGUUUUAGGUUUUACCGACUGCGGCUAAUCUUUUUUUAUACUGAGCGUAUUGGAACGUUAUCGAUAAGAAGAGAGCGUCUAGGCGAACAAUGUUCUUAAAGUUUGACCUCAAAUCAGGUAGGAGUACCCGCUGAACUUAAGCAUAUCAAUAAGCGGAG